UACGGGGGGGGCAAGCGUUGUUCGGAUUUACUGGGCGUAAAGGGCGCGUAGGCGGCCAGUGCAAGUCAGUUGUGAAAUCUCCGAGCUUAACUCGGAAAGGUCAACUGAUACUGCUCGGCUAGAGUGCGGAAGGGGCAACUGGAAUUCUCGGUGUAGCGGUGAAAUGCGUAGAUAUCGAGAGGAACACCUGCGGCGAAGGCGGGUUGCUGGGCUGACACUGACGCUGAAACGCGAAAGCUAGGGGAGCGAACGGG
rnacentral:rRNA from 1 species